rnacentral:rRNA from 1 species
UACGGAGGGUGCAAGCGUUGUCCGGAAUCACUGGGCGUAAAGGGCGCGUAGGCGGCUCAUGAAGGCUGUGGUGAAAGUCCGGGGCUCAACCUCGGAUCGGCCGUGGCGACUCGUGGGCUGGAGCACUGUAGAGGCGGGUGGAAUUCCGGGUGUAGCGGUGGAAUGCGUAGAGAUCCGGAAGAACACCAGUGGCGAAGGCGGCCCGCUGGGGCAGUGGCUGACGCUGAGGCGCGACAGCGUGGGGGAGCAAACAGG